rnacentral:rRNA from 1 species
AUUGAACGCUGGCGGCAUGCCUUACACAUGCAAGUCGAACGGCAGCACGGGAGCAAUCCUGGUGGCGAGUGGCGAACGGGUGAGUAAUAUAUCGGAACGUGCCCAGUCGUGGGGGAUAACGUAGCGAAAGCUACGCUAAUACCGCAUACGAUCUAUGGAUGAAAGCGGGGGAUCGCAAGACCUCGCGCGAUUGGAGCGGCCGAUAUCAGAUUAGGUAGUUGGUGAGGUAAAGGCUCACCAAGCCGACGAUCUGUAGCUGGUCUGAGAGGACGACCAGCCACACUGGGACUGAGACACGGCCCAGACUCCUACGGGAGGCAGCAGUGGGGAAUUUUGGACGAAUGGGCGCAAGCCUGAUCCAGCAAUGCCGCGUGCAGGAUGAAGGCCUU